rnacentral:rRNA from 1 species
UAUGUGGCAUACGGCUCAGUAACACGUAGUCAACAUGCCCAGGGGACGUGGAUAACCUCGGGAAACUGAGGAUAAACCGCGAUAGGUCAUCACUUCUGGAAUGGGUAAUGACUUAAAUCUAUAUGGCCCCUGGAUUGGACUGCGGCCGAUCAGGCUGUUGGUGAGGUAAUGGCCCACCAAACCUGUAACCGGUACGGGCUCUGAGAGGAGGAGCCCGGAGAUGGGCACUGAGACAAGGGCCCAGGCCCUAUGGGGCGCAGCAGGCGCGAAACCUCUGCAAUAGGCGAAAGCUUGACAGGGUUACUCUGAGUGAUUUCCGUUAAGGAGAUCUUUUGGCACCUCUAAAAAUGGUGCAGAAUAAGGGGUGGGCAAGUCUGGUGUCAGCCGCCGCGGUAAUACCAGCACCCCGAGUGGUCGGGACGUUUAUUGGGCCUAAAGCAUCCGUAGCCGGUUCUACAAGUCUUCCGUUAAAUCCACCUGCUUAACAGAUGGGCUGCGGAAGAUACUAUAGAGCUAGGAGGCGGGAGAGGCAAGCGGUACUCGAUGGGUAGGGGUAAAAUCCGUUGAUCCAUUGAAGACCACCAGUGGCGAAGGCGGCUUGCCAGAACGCGCUCGACGGUGAGGGAUGAAAGCUGGGGGAGCAAACCGGAUUAGAUACCCGGGUAGUCCCAGCUGUAAACGAUGCAGACUCGGUGAUGAGUUGGCUUAUUGCUAACUCAGUGCCGCAGGGAAGCCGUUAAGUUUGCCGCCUGGGGAGUACGGUCGCAAGACUGAAAC